GAAAGUAUACCGCCUCGCAGUGAUGCGAGGUAAGGGUGAAAAGGUGCGGUAAGAGCGCACCAGUUUCCCGGGUGACCGGGAAAGCUUUGUAAACCCCACCUGGUGCAAGACCAAAUAGGGGAGUGUUUGAGGACGGCCCGUCCAAGCUUCCGGGUAGGUCGCAGGAGAUUCCGGGCAACCGGCGUCCUGAGAUGAAUGAUCGUUACCCGGUUAGGGGUAACCCGAACCGGACACAGAAUUCGGCUUACGGGCUGCUUCGGCCG
rnacentral:RNase_P_RNA from 2 species